AUAGGUGGGUUGGGUUUGUCCCUCAAAGUGGGCCAAAUCACCAAAUGGAUCACCAGUAUUAGUAGCCCAAAACCCAGCAUCGAGAGUUGUAAAUCUCUGGCACAUUCAAGUUCUAGUUUAAAUUGAUACAAUAAAUCGAUGGAGGUCGCUGUCAUCGGGUCUCUGCAACUCCAUUCGGACGAUGUUUUUCUUAUGGAGAUGAUCAUGUAAUGAAGAGUGUUCUCGGCAUUGUCAAGAACAGUAGUGACUAGUUUUCAUGGCUGUUUUUUUAUUCUUUCUGUUAUCGUCGGGUUUGCUAAUCCAGGUUCCUAGUCGGAACCAUUUUAUCGAGGUCGACAACUUCCAGACCAAUGGGUUGAUGCGGGGGGCUAGGAAACUUGGCUAGGCCAUAGGGAUUGGAUUGUGAACAUUGGUUCAAUACAACAGAAGACAUAAAUAUCAGUGGAGAUGAUUCAACAGACACCUCAGUGUUGACCAAUCAAUUUCAUUGGGAAUUAUCAAGGAUUGUUGAAUCCUUAUUUCUAUGGAUGUUGUAAUCAAGUUUGGGUCACAAAUUAUAUUAAUCCUUUUUUUUUUUUUUCAAAAUGUAAAUUUAUAUUUAGUUGUUUAGCUUAUUUUGAUAUGAAAUGGAAACUCGGAGUUUUUGCAUUUU